rnacentral:rRNA from 1 species
GAUGAACGCUGGCGGCGUGCCUAAUACAUGCCAGUCGAGCGAACAGACGAGGAGCUUGCUCCUCUGACGUUAGCGGCGGACGGGUGAGUAACACGUGGAUAACCUACCUAUAAGACUGGGAUAACUUCGGGAAACCGGAGCUAAUACCGGAUAAUAUAUUGAACCGCAUGGUUCAAUAGUGAAAGACGGUUUUGCUGUCACUUAUAGAUGGAUCCGCGCCGCAUUAGCUAGUUGGUAAGGUAACGGCUUACCAAGGCAACGAUGCGUAGCCGACCUGAGAGGGUGAUCGGCCACACUGGAACUGAGACACGGUCCAGACUCCUACGGGAGGCAGCAGUUGGGAAUCUUCCGCAAUGGGCGAAAGCCUGACGGAGCAACGCCGCGUGAGUGAUGAAGGUCUUCGGAUCGUAAAACUCUGUUAUUAGGGAAGAACAAAUGUGUAAGUAACUAUGCACGUCUUGACGGUACCUAAUCAGAAAGCCACGGCUAACUACGUG